UGAGGAAUAUUGGUCAAUGGGCGAGAGCCUGAACCAGCCAAGUAGCGUGCAGGAUGACGGCCCUAUGGGUUGUAAACUGCUUUUAUGUGGGGAUAAAGUGCGUGACGUGUCAUGCAUUGCAGGUACCACAUGAAUAAGGACCGGCUAAUUCCGUGCCAGCAGCCGCGGUAAUACGGAAGGUCCGGGCGUUAUCCGGAUUUAUUGGGUUUAAAGGGAGCGUAGGCUGUCUAUUAAGCGUGUUGUGAAAUAUACCGGCUCAACCGGUGGCUGGCAGCGCGAACUGGUCGACUUGAGUAUGCAGGAAGUAGGCGGAAUUCAUGGUGUAGCGGUGAAAUGCUUAGAUAUCAUGACGAACUCCGAUUGCGCAGGAGGCUUACUGUAGCAUAACUGACGCUGAUGCUCGAAAGUGCGGGUAUCAAACAGG
rnacentral:rRNA from 1 species